rnacentral:misc_RNA from 1 species
UUUCCGUAGGUGAACCUGCGGAAGGAUCAUUAAAAAAUAAUCACAGUUUUGUGAUUUUAAUAAUCAUCCUACCCUUUGUGAAUUUGUUUUGUAAAGAAAUUUAUGUUGUCUAUCCUGGUGGUUUUUGGAAAGUUGAAAAACUUUUUCGAAUCCUCAGGGACUAGGCUUUCAUAGACCUUUUUUAAAUUAAACUUUUGUAUUCAUUUGUCUAAAAUUUAUUUUAAUAAUUUAAAAACAACUUUUGACAAUGGAUCUCUUGGUUCUCGCAACGAUAAGAACGCAGCAAAAUGCGAUAAGUAAUGUGAAUUGCAGAAUACGUGAAUCAUCAAAUCUUCGAACGCAUAUUGCACUUUUCUAGUUUACUAGAAAGUAUGUCUGUUUGAGUAUCAGUAAAUAUUCUCAUAAAAACAUUUGUUUUUAUGGUUAUGAGUGUUUUACAACGAUAACAAGUUGUUUCACUUUAAAUUGAUUUUUUAAAAUAAGCCAAUUUGGUUUUAUUAUUAAAAUUGGAUAAAAUUUUCCCGUAAAAAGGAAUAAACUUUCAGUUUUAAAUAAAUCUUAAAUUGGACUUUGAUAAAAAGGAAAUUUAUUUAAAUAACUUGAUCUCAAAUCAGAUAAGAGUACCGCUGAACUUAAGCAUAUCAAUAAGCGGAGGAAAAGAAACUAACAAGGAUUCCCUUAGUAACGGCGAGUGAAGCGGGAAGAGCUCAAAUUUGAAAUCUUCAAGUUCUACCUUGACGAAUUGUAGUUUAUAGAAGUGUUUUCUGUUAGUGGAGUGGCAAAAGUUCUUUGGAAUAGGACAUCAUAGAGGGUGAGAAUCCCGUAUUUGGUCAUUCUUCUAGCUUGUGAUACACUUUCAACGAGUCGGAUUGUUUGGGAAUGCAGUCCAAAAUGGGUGGUAAAUUUCAUCUAAAGCUAAAUAUUGGCGAGAGACCGAUAGCGAACAAGUACCGUGAGGGAAAGAUGAAAAGAACUUUGAAAAGAGAGUUAAACAGUACGUGAAAUUGUCAAAAGGGAAGCGUUUGACACCAGUGUUGUUUUUCCGAAAUCAAUUACGAAUGUUUUGUUUUUGAGGAGUUAUGACUUCAUCGGCUUGCUCCUUUCUUUACGAAACUUUCUUAAUGCACUUUUCGGUUAACAAGUCAACAUCAAUUUCUUUGUUGUAAAAGGGUAUGAGGAAGGUGGCUUUCUUUUCGGAGAAGUGUUUAUAGCCUUGUGCCUCUGCAAUCGGAGAGAUUGAGGUCUGCAGCGUAGAUCCUUCGGGUUAGAUACGUUUGUGCUAAGUUAUAGCUUUUCAUAGACAACUUGUUGACUAUGUUUAGUCUUGUAGCUUACUCGCUGACGCUAUUUUACCUACGCUUAGGAUGUUGAC